AAUAGAAGACAGUACAUAAUUGAGGCCUGCAAAGUGGAUGCAUAACUUCCGGAAAACGAUUUGUCCUAACGUCAGGGUGUAUAGAGAAGGCGUGUUGUUCGUCUGUCUGGGGUGGUUGGGCUCGUUGGUGCUUCGCGGCCUGUCUGCAGACCGCUGGCACUGACCGUCAUGUGGCCGUUAGACUGCUCGAACAGUGAACGGCUAACUUGUAACUGGAACGGAAAAUGGGAAUCUGACUGUCGGAUUAAAAAAAAAGCAUUGCAACAUCAGCAAACGGUGCUGACAGAGUAUGAUUUCAGCCCAGUGCUCUGAAUGUCCAUGUGACGAAAAGCAAUCGCUUGCUAACAACGACCGCAACCAUGAUAUUCUGUAAGGUAGCAAAAUGUCUUGUCAUCUUAGUAGGGACGUGAGUGCAUGAGUCAACGAGAUUCCUAAUGCCUGCAUCCAUUACAUGGCGAAAACACAGCCAAAGGGGCGGGUUCGCCGGAAUCCGCUGGGAAAGGCGACUCCGUUGAUAUUGACUCUCGCCCGACUUUGUGGAACGACCUUGCCGGCACAGCACAGGUGGGGAAUUGAGAGAUUUUGAAAUACCACUACUGCGAUUGUCGUUUUACAUACUCCGUAAAGUUCGUAGGCAUGCUGUGUUCUUGUCUUCAGGCGCCUCGCAGGCUGCUCAUUCCCCAGUAGGGUCACUACGACGCCCGUCAUCUAACGAGCAGGACGCGUGCCUGACUUUAUUCCUGAUUUAACCCGGUGAAUUCCUCAAACGCCUGCUUUUCCGUUUCUAUAGUUUUUCGGGUUUUCAUGAAAUCUCAGAUUAUGUGUCCUGGCUGGCAAAGAAAGAAACAGAUCAGUUCGUCCCGCCGGUGUUCUGGGUAACCGAUUCGCACGCUCCCGUUUGCUCUUGGAAUAUUCCCGUGUAUUCUGGUGAUAUUCAAACUCGAAACAUCCGUUAAAGCUUUAUCCAGGCCACUGCCAGAAUCUUCUCUUCCCCUUCAUGUAGGCGGACAACAGUGAGACAUCAUCGGCUGUCACGAAGCGUCCCUGUCCACAAAUUUCUCCAGAAAAGCGGCACUCUCAUAUAGAUGCAUACAUCAUGUCAACGCUCCACGGCCUACUGUUGUUAUUCGAAUUUUGUUCUGGAUGAAUGGAUGUACAGUUGCUUCUAAAAUAAAGUUGACUGACUCUUUGCUUGCAUCCGUCCAGGCAGGCAAAAUAGGUCCUCCGCUCACUUGGAAUUGACGCUCCCUUCUUCUUUGGACAAUCAGAAAUGCCAGAGGGGCUGUUUGUUGACCGUCUGUGUGAGAAACAUCUCUUUGCUUGCCAACAAAGGAGAGUUUGGGGCCCUGGGGAUCUCAAGGCACGCGGGAAUCGACCUCAGUCUCACCAGCGACUUGUGCCCCGAACGAUAACACAAACGCAUUCAGAAGUCACUUAGUGAUUUUAAAGAUGAGGUCCCGAUUCCCCUCACAGGAUGGGGUAUCAAGAGCUAGGACAAGUAGAGGGACUGCAGGUCGUGGGGAUUGAUAAUGGUAGAACGCUAAAACCCUCUUUAGUCCUGAUCCCGCCUUGAAGCAUAUGGUGAUAAAAAUCAUACUUAAAUAACUUAUAUUCCGCCCUAUCAUCGAUCAAUAGCCAGUAGACGUAUGUAUCUGUCUGUGGGCAUCCACCGCAGGUCCCCACUGCAACGCCCUGACGUUCUUUCCUUAUCUGAUUGCGUCAGGCUGAGUAAUACUGUGCCGGAUGAUGUUACCGCUACAUCGUUGUUUAGUAAAAUAAGUUACCCCAAAACUUAAAAAUAGUGCAAUUAUUGGUUAAUAAGAUAAAAGGAACGUUUUUCCGUCCCCACACGCCCUGGCAAGGCGGCCCCACGUGCUGGGGCUGGGGCUGGGAAGGGGACAGUCCAGCA
rnacentral:ncRNA from 1 species